AUGCACAUGUCUCAGAUGAGCAUUGUAGCCUACAGGCCUAUUAUUUUCUGAUCUUGUCAUGUUUCUUUUCCUUCUUUUUGUCAUUUACUGGUACAAAUUUGUUCUCUGUGUUGUUUGACAGAAUGAGAACAUUAGCUUCCUUGUGCCUCCCUAUUUGCUGGGUAGGACUGACCAAAAUUAAAUACCAUAUAGAAAACAAAGUCCAGUCAUGAUGACUAUUUUAAUAGAACACAUGUAAUAAAAAUUGUAAAGGCAAGUUUGUAAAUAUAUCAAGAAUAUAAUACAAUAGAAUUAACAGUUGUUGACUUUAUUAACAAAUAACAAUGGAUUAUUUAAUAUA